rnacentral:rRNA from 1 species
CAGUAGCCGCAGGAAAACGUAGGUUGCAAGCGUUGUCCGGAAUUAUUGGGCGUAAAGGGCUCGCAGGCGGUUUCUUAAGUCUGAUGUGAAAGCCCCCGGCUCAACCGGGGAGGGUCAUUGGAAACUGGGAAACUUGAGUGCAGAAGAGGAGAGUGGAAUUCCACGUGUAGCGGUGAAAUGCGUAGAGAUGUGGAGGAACACCAGUGGCGAAGGCGACUCUCUGGUCUGUAACUGACGCUGAGGAGCGAAAGCGUGGGGAGCGAACAGGAUUAGAUACCCCCGUAGUCCCUGUCUCUUAUAA